rnacentral:rRNA from 2 species
GUUUUGAUCCUGGCUCAGGAUGAACGCUGGCGGCGUGCCUAAUACAUGCAAGUCGAACGAGUUCUGAUUAUUGAAAGGUGCUUGCAUCUUGAUUUAAUUUUGAACGAGUGGCGGACGGGUGAGUAACACGUGGGUAACCUGCCCUUAAGUGGGGGAUAACAUUUGGAAACAGAUGCUAAUACCGCAUAAAUCCAAGAACCGCAUGGUUCUUGGCUGAAAGAUGGCGUAAGCUAUCGCUUUUGGAUGGACCCGCGGCGUAUUAGCUAGUUGGUGAGGUAACGGCUCACCAAGGCAAUGAUACGUAGCCGAACUGAGAGGUUGAUCGGCCACAUUGGGACUGAGACACGGCCCAAACUCCUACGGGAGGCAGCAGUAGGGAAUCUUCCACAAUGGACGCAAGUCUGAUGGAGCAACGCCGCGUGAGUGAAGAAGGCUUUCGGGUCGUAAAACUCUGUUGUUGGAGAAGAAUGGUCGGCAGAGUAAACUGUUGUCGGGCGUGACGGUAUCCAACCAGAANGCCACGGCUAACUACGUGCCAGCAGCCGCGGUAAUAA